CGGCGGUGGCUGAGUACGCGUGGGAACGUGCCCCUCAGUACGGAAUAGCCUAGGGAAACUUGGAUUAAUACCGUAUGCGCCCUUCGGGGGAAAGAUUUAUCGCUGAGGGAUCGGCCCGCGUCUGAUUAGGUAGUUGGUGGGGUAAUGGCCCACCAAGCCGACGAUCAGUAGCUGGUUUGAGAGGAUGAUCAGCCACACUGAGACUGAGACACGGCCCAGACUCCUACGGGAGGCAGCAGUGGGGAAUCUUGGACAAUGGGGGCAACCCUGAUCCAGCCAUGCCGCGUGAGUGAAGAAGGCCUUAGGGUUGUAAAUCUCUUUCAACGACGAAGAUGAUGACGGUAGUCGUAGAAGAAGCCCCGGCUAACUCCGUGCCAGCAGCCGCGGUAAUACGGAGGGGGCUAGCGUUGUUCGGAAUUACUGGGCGUAAAGCGCGCGUAGGCGGAUUGGUCAGUCAGGGGUGAAAUCCCGGGGCUCAACCCCGGAACUGCCCUUGAUACUACCAGUCUGGAGUUCUGGAGAGGUGAGUGGAAUUCCGAGUGUAGAGGUGAUAUUCGUAGAUAUUCGGAGGAACACCAGUGGCGAAGGCGGCUCACUGGCCAGUUACUGACGCUGAGGCGCGAAAGCGUGGGGAGCAAAC
rnacentral:rRNA from 1 species